rnacentral:lncRNA from 1 species
CUGGUGAGCAAAAAAAUUAGUGGCUGAAGUUUUAUUUCCGAGAAUUGUACACGAAACACUGGCAGAUAUUACCCCAAUUUCCACGCAUUUCAACCUCCAUGUAAAUUGGUAGACGAACAUUGUACUGAUAUUUUGAAAGAGUAAAAAAUCCAGUGGAUAAAAUUUGGAUUGUUUUUUUCAGUCUUUUCUCCUCUCUUCGGUUCUGCUCACCAGAAUGCACAUGCGCGUCGGUCGUUACUGCAGUAAUACCGGUGAGGACUAGUUGUUCGCUCAUAUACAUCAGUCUCGCAUAGUAGAGUGUUGAUCGUACAUGAUCAUUGCGGCUGCAAAAUGCACCUGAAAAAACUUGUGUUCUGCCUGAUACAGGGCUUGAAUCUACUUGCAUUCGCUGAUUGUUUAGCUUCGACAAGUGCGAGCCCAAGAUCUGGGCCGUGUGAAAAUGCUAACUGUCCGCGAACAAUGCCGGAAGAGCCCCAGUUCGAAGAUCUAUUUCAUUUGGCCCAUAACGAUCCUUGUCUAGGGGUGACGUCAGAUAGUCCUCAAAAGGAUAAAUCAAGAGCAUUCAGCCUGUGCCAAAAGCUCGUCCGGGUGUACUUGGGAUCUCCCCUCUACAACCCAAAGUCGAAGUGUAAGAAUGCUGAAUUCGAUUAUUGCGUCAGUUCUGGAAAAGAUUUGGACUCCAACUACAGAUGCACGGUUAAAAUUCCGGGCGGGAUAAUGGGCUCAACUAAGAAGAGAUUGAGUUACUGCGUGAAGGAAGACCACCCUGGGUACGUCGCAAGAACGACGGUGCGCGGUGCGUCGCACUCUUUGGCCGAAGUCCCGAGGGCGAAGCCUCAAAUCGGACCCAUCAUCUACGGUGCUCAGCACGGGAUACAGGAAACGCCGAUAGCUCCUCCGCAGAUCGAGCGAACUAGAACACAGACCCAGCAGAGUGGACAAAGGCGGUCGAGCUCCAAUAGUCCACCACCGUCCAGACACGGCUCCCAAAGCGAUCGCGGGCGGACCGCUCAGCGAACCACCAGCAGAGCCGGAAGAGCCCGAGUUCGAAGAUCUAUAUCACUUGGAGCAUAAUGAUCCAUGUCUACCGUUAUCGAGAGCGAGUCCUCCUGAAGAAGUUCGAAGAGCAGUCGCACUAUGUAAAAAGCUCGUUCGGGUGUACUUGAGAUCUCCCCUCUACAACAACGGACAAAGGUCGCAUUGCAACCAGGCGAAGUUCGAAGACUGCGUUCUUUUCGGAAACGAUUUUUGGGUCUGGAAAUACAGAUGUGCGGUUAAAAUUCCGGCCGGACUCUUUCAAAAAGGUGCGAAGCCAUUAACUACCUGCGUCAAAGAGGAUCACCCGUGGUACGUCGAAAGAACGACAGUGCGCGGAGCGUCGCACUCUUUGGCCGAAGUCCCGAGGGCGAACCCUCAAAUCAGAACCGUCUACGGCGCUCAGCACGGGAUACAGGAAACGCCGAGAGCUCCUCCGCAAAUCGAGGAAACUAGAACCCAGCCAAGUGAACGAAGGCGUUCGAGAUCCACGAGUCCACCACCGUCCAGACGCGGCUCCCAGAGCGAUCGCGGGCGGACCGCUCAGCGAGCCUCCAGCAGCAGUUUCUCCUUCUCCGGCAUGUUCGGAGGCAGACGAACUCAGAGUAACAGCCCUACAAGACCUCUCUUAUGCGACUACGGGAACUAUAGGUCAGGGAAUUAACAGCCCCCCCCCCCCCCCACCCCACCCAAUGUGUGGACAAUAGCCGUAGCCUUCCAGCCGUAUAGAUUAGAGAUAGAUAUAGUUCUUUUGAGCCAAUUUGUAUUUAAAUUGUUCAAAAUUUGUUAAAUUUAAAAUGUGAUUUAAAAAUAAAGGGAACGGUUGUGUAAUCUCGUCCAGUUUGUCUCAUCUUUUCAUAUGACAGCCAUGAACAAUGUAUAACAAUAAAAAAAAGUAUAAGUAAAGAAAACAAAUACUUGAGGAGUUAAGAACAUAGCAAAUCAAAAAUUAUAAGUUUUUAAGAAUCACAUUUAUCUGAUUAUCGUUUAUAAAAUGGGGUUUUAAGUAAACUUUAAAUUUUGUUACUGAAUAUAUAUCUACUACAACCUGUUGAGCUCCCCUAAGUGUCAUAUGAUAUUGUUUCGUAAUUUAAACGGGUGUAUUUGCAAUAACAAAAAUUUCCGGUAAUUUUGCAAAAACUCGGGAAAAUAAGAAAACUCGACAAAAAAAGUAUCUUUACCACUGACAAAUGCAAAGGAAACCUUGGUUGGAACUGAAUUUUGAACAGUGAAGUCAUGAGAUUAAAAAACACAUUUGGACAUUGGAUUUCUUCACAUUUAAUAAAGUUCGAUGCUGAUUUGAUCUUUGUAUUUCUGAGCGUGUUAAAGUCAUGCAACUGAGGUUGUAAAAAAAUCUACUCUUGUUGUUAACUCUCUCACCAUCUCACUUGCAUACUAUUUUAAUCUAAGUUGGAGCUUCCUCUUAUGUUUUAUCUAUUAAUGACCUUGAUCAAUAAACUUUUUCUAGCUCUUGUUCUCGUGCUUGAUUUAAAUCGCAAAGUUUCGUUUUACAGAUAUUAUAUCUUCGAAUUUUUCUGGAGUCUUUAAAUUAUAAAAAAGCACAUGAAUCGUUUGUACAUGAGUCAUCAUUUAACAGAAGUUGACAGAUUAAACGACAAACUAAUGCGCUGAAAUGUUCAAAAUAUGAACUUUAUGUACUCAUCUUCCUACACACACCUGCAAAUCAAUUAAAUAUCGUUACACUUAAAUACAACACUCAUUAAGGAAGAUACAUUUGAUCUCACAAAUAUUCUUGCACUGGAAAAAAAACACAUUGGAUCUGGAGUCCAGACUCUUGAAAACAUUGACAAGAAAAAAUACUCUUGAUUCAAUUGGAUUUUUGCUAGAAUCAAAACAAAAUCCGCUUAAAUUAAGAUGCUUGGUUCUUGAUUUAAGCUAGAUUCAGAUUGAAUCAAAAGUACUUUGUCUUAUCGAUGUUUUUAAGAGGCUGGACUCUAGAUCCAAUGUGUUUUUUCCCAGUGUGCAUAUGGAGUGCAAAGUCACCCAUGUAACACCUCGUAAUAUCCUUUUGAGAACAGGAUCUCCGCGCACUGGAGACGGAAGAAGAUUAAAUUAACAAAAAUAAAGCUUCAAUAACGUCAACAACCACCAAUACUUCAAAAAAACUAAAUCACAAUAAAACCUAAUCAUAUUAAAAUGCAAAGAGAAGAUAUACACUGGUAAAAAAAAACACAUUGGAUAUGGAGUCCAGACUCUUAAAAACAUCGACAAGAAAAUGGACUCUUGAUUCAAGCAGAUUUAAACUUAAAUCAAGAACCAAGCCUCUUAAUUGAGCGGAUUUCCUUUUGAUUUAAGCUUAAAUCUGAUUGAAUCAAGAGUCCACUUUCUUGUCAAUGUUUUCAAGAGUCUGGACUCUAGAUCCAAUGUGUUUUUUUUACCAGUGUAACUAAAUAUUUUUGAUUAGAGUACAAAGUCAAGACAUGCCUGUCAUCAUCAUCCCCGGAACGAAGGAACUUAUUAACCCUCAAUUGCAUCAUGUACAAUGUGAUGGCACUGAACUAUGCCGCAUCAUUAAUACAGAGCACAUUCGCCCUAAUAAACACUUUUUCCCAGAUCCCACGAAAGCCCACAGAAAGAGGAAAAAAGAAGAUGAUUUAAAAUAAGGAAUCACUUGAUUCGACCGUUAAACUAUGUUUUUAAAUUUAAAAAAAACUUUAAGUUAUUUUUAAAGAUCUAUUGUGAUAGAGUUAAGUUUUGGCCUCAUAUUUACGUUCUAAGCAAAACAUAACCGGUUCAAACUCAUAUUUCCUCCGAUGCCCUUCAAGAAAAAAGCACAAAGUUGGUUUGCUUGCACGGAAGUCCAGGUGCAGACAAUGUAUCACGUGAUUUGACUGUUAAAUUAUAUUUUAAAAGAAUAAGGUUGGCGUUAUUCGGCGAUACGGUACCGCCGAAUAACGUUUUAUUAGAUGGUACCGUGAACCGUUUUAUUAGACAGUACCGCUGAAUAACCACCUCCAAAAAUUAAAGACAUUAUUUCAGUUCUGUUGUGAUGAAGCUAAGUCUUGCCCUCAUUAUUACGUUCGAAGCAAAACAUGACCAAGAAAAGGGCAAAAAGUUAGUUGGA